UCUACAGCAGAGGUUCGAGUAGUGAUUUUAGAAGAUAAGCCAAGAUAAGCCAGGUGUGCAGCAAUCACAGUUGUCUGCUGGAGCUUUCAGCUGCCUUUCCUGCUCCACUGUCUCCAUCCACUUAUCCUCCUAUCUUUGUCUCUAAUUGUUGCAUCUCCUGAUUUGAAGAAUACCAGAUGAAAAAGAGGAUCACAAAUGAACCUCAACAGCCUUCCAUAUCACAGUUUAUGGACACUUGUGCCGGACAGUACAGCAUGACUCAUCCACAGCAGAAAGCUAUCACGAAUGCAUUAUUAAGUGACUUGAUUAUUGGUUGCAACCUGCCCCUUUCUAUUGUGGAAAACAAGAAUUUUCGGCACUUUCUGACGGUAGUUGACAGAAAAUACAGCCCGGUAUGUCGCAGAACAAUUAUAUCAAAAACAGAGAACCUUGCUGCUGAGAAACGUUCAAUGUUAAGAACUCAGUUGAGCGAGACUGAUCAUGUUUCAGUCACUGUGGACAUUUGGUCAGACCGAAGGAUGAGGGGUUUCCUUGGUAUCAUAGUGCACUGGAUACAGAAAGAGACAGAGGAUGCAGCUAAAAUCCAAACUGCUGGCCUUUGACCGCUUCAAAGGAUUACACACUGGUGAAAGAAUCUGUGAGAAAUUUGAAGCUAUAUGUGACGAAUACAACAUCAAAGAUAAACUAGACUAUAUUAUUAGUGACAAUGCUGCCAAUAUGCGGAAAGCAUUC